GGUAAGUGAGUUACACCUAUGAUACAGGGUGAAUGCAAUCUACUACAGUACCCAACAGGAUUAAAGACAGGCAGUACUCUGAUCUCCGAGGGUCAGGACUGUGAGAAACCAGUGUGUGGGUGAUGGCUCACCCUCUCUAGAGCUCUGGUAGCUGUCACGAUUAAGAGGAAGAGAAACUCACUGUUGAGUACCAGCAGACAAGCACCUGCCUACAAAUGAGGGAACGAGAGAAGGUGAAAGAGGAAAGUAAGGCAGGAGUUCAACAGCUGUGGAUUAUAUAUAUAGGUAAGGAAGAGGACAUUAAAACAUACAAGAAGAUAAGCAGUUAUAUUAGCAUAUGCAUGUCAACAAGCACAUAUGAGACAAGCAUAUCUCAUUUGUCACUUGUAAGCCCCACUUACAUAUGAUACACAUUGUCAUGGCACACUGUUUCCCUAUUGGAUGUCCUGUAUGGCUGUCAGACUAGAGGGAGUGGGCUUAACUGUUCACACAGUUGGUGCUAGUUUGAAAGGGGGCGACUGGAAUGAUUCGAGUUGUUUUUCUUAGUGCUGUGACUGAGAAGGACGUCAACUUUCCAUUUCAAAUAAAGAAAUAAAAAUAUAUUGAAAUAAUUGCUUGAUGUUAGAUUAACGUAGUUGUAAUUUGAAGGACAUUUCUACGUUUGAUUUCUAUUGCUGUUUUCUGAUAGAUUGGUAGAUGGAGCAGUGAUUUAGUUGUGUGGCUGAGGUAGGUUUAGAAUUGUUAUCGCAGAUUUUGGUAAAGAUGCUGGUCUUGGACAAUAGCAGUGUAGUAGGUAGGGCAGUCUGUUUGUGGUUUCAACUUGUGUAGCAUUAAAGGUACAAUGGCAACUGAUUUAGUUGAUGUUCCAGUGCCGGUUAAUGGGCUGACUCAGUUUAUUGCUAUGGCAGAGUAAGAGAAGCUUUGCUAGAAAAAGACAUGACCAAGCCAGAAAUAGCAGCCCUUUUGAUUAAUGUACUACAGUUGGAGCGUGUUCAGAACAAAAUAGCGAAAGGGAUUUUGAGCUCCAACAAAAGGAGAAGGAAAAGGACAGGGCCCAUCUGGAGAUGGAGAUGUUGAGAAAGCUGCUGUAAGUGGAUGCAAGUCUGAACAGAGAUAUUAACCGAGCACAACGUUGCAUGCCAUAUUUUCAUGAAAACAUUGUGCGCACAAUCUUUGAAAUGUUUAAGAAGGUGGCUAUUGAAAAAACUGGCUGCUGUUGGUUCAA